UCAUUAGUUUCUUAAUUAGAAGCUGGUAUGAAUGGUUAAAUGAGAAAAUAGUUGUCUUUAAUUAAAUUUUGAAAGAAUUUUAUAUUUAAGUUAAAAAGCUUAAAUGAUUUUAAAAGACGAGAAGACCCUAUAGAGUUUAAUAAUUGAAAUAUCGUUGAUUUUAGGUAUUUUUAUCUAACGAUUUUAAUGUUAUUUAAUUGGGGUGAUUAGAAAAUUUAAAUAACUUUUGUUUUAUAAAUACAUUGAUUUAUGAAUAAUUGAUCCAUUCUUAGUGAUUAAAAGAUUAAAUUACCUUAGGGAUAACAGCGUAAUUUUUUUAGCGAGUUCUUAUCAAUAAAAAAGUUUGCGACCUCGAUGUUGGAUUAAAAUUAACUUUCGGUGCAGCCGUUGAAAAGUUGGGUCUGUUCGACCUUUAAAAUUUUACAUGAUCUGAGUUUAAACCGGUGUGAGCCAGGUUGGAUUCUAUCUUUAAAUUAUUUAAAUGAUUUAGUACGAAAGGACCCAUCAUUUGUAAUAUUUANUAUAUUUUGUGAAUAAAACUGUUACUUUGGCAGAUUAGUGCAUUAAAUUUAGAAUUUAAUUAUGUAUGUUAUAAUACAGGUAAUACUUGUUUAUUUUGGANGGAAUUCUUAUGU
rnacentral:rRNA from 1 species